AUUCAAUGUCAUAUCAAUGAGAAAUUUUAUGUAGAAGUAGUGGAGAUAGCAAACUGCAAACAGCAAAACUCUCUGCCUAUAAAGAACACAUAUCUGCCGAAUCAGCCAAUCUCUCCACCUUCAUCAAUAGUACUCAUAGGAAGAGCUAAUGAUACUUGAAACUUUUGUUCAUACAUAGUAUUAACUAUAUUUAUAGAUUUAAGUUGCUACUGCUUCUCUAAAUUCGAGAUAUUCUUCACACCAUAUUCAGUCAAGACACAUUUAAAAUGUCACAUGAAACACAGGCCAUCUGCAACAAACCUACUGUAAGAAAUGUUGCUUUAGCAAUGAACUCUAAUCGGCAAAAAUUUACCUUUCAGACAUAAUCUUAUAAUUUGACCCAGAUCCUGUUCCGGCAGGUUCCGGCUUAAAUUAAGCCCUGGACACACUUCAUCUGUAAUCUUUUGUAUAAAUUUCCGACCACAUAAUGAGCAUACGCUAUGAAAACAUGUCUUUAAAAACACACCUCUAAAAUAUAGCACACCUGCUUUCCAGAACCUUUUUAUGCGGAUCCGGCACCUCUGCAGCUGGAUGUAAAGUCUCCCGCAGCAAUAUUACCAAAACAAAUAGUUUUAGUGUUUAAUUCACCAAAAGUAAAACAGAACAACAACAAAAACCGGCAAAGGAAAUGCUCGAAUGAUGCAUUCAUUUAAGAACGAUGAGUUACUGAACCUAUGAAAAAAGUGUCCCAGCUAUUUUUGCCAUAAACCAAGUCAUUCAUUUACAGAGUCGCUUGUCAGACUUUACAUUAUGUUUAGGUACCAAGUGUUGAUUGGUCCAUGUGGGGCUGCUGGUUCACAUAAAUAGGAGUGUGAAGUGAGUUCCCCAUCAUAGGUGAUCAACAGCCAUCAUGAGGUUUCUAGUCCUGCUUUUGCUUGUCGGAGCUUGCUGUAAGUAUAAACAUCAUCUACAGACUACCGGGCUGUAUGAUCUGACAGCCAACCACAUGCGAAGGUCUGCAUUUUCACCAGCUGGAUUCCCCAAACAAUGUCCAGCAGUUAAAUCUGCUCCAGUCCACUUUACACAAUGCAACAACAUAUUGUGAAAUCCAACACUCACAUAUUCAAAUAAAAGUUCCUGAAUUAACAAAACCA